CAGUAGCCGCGGUAAUACAGAGGGUGCAAGCGUUAAUCGGAAUUACUGGGCGUAAAGCGUGCGUAGGCGGCUUUUUAAGUCGGAUGUGAAAUCCCUGAGCUUAACUUAGGAAUUGCAUUCGAUACUGGGAAGCUAGAGUAUGGGAGAGGAUGGUAGAAUUCCAGGUGUAGCGGUGAAAUGCGUAGAGAUCUGGAGGAAUACCGAUGGCGAAGGCAGCCAUCUGGCCUAAUACUGACGCUGAGGUACGAAAGCAUGGGGAGCAAACAGGAUUAGAUACCCCCGUAGUCCCUGUCUCUUAUAC
rnacentral:rRNA from 1 species